rnacentral:tRNA from 3 species
GUUGUAGUUCAGUGGUAGAGCACCUGAUUGUGGUUCAGGGUGUCGCGGGUUCGAAUCCCGUCUUC